ACUGUUGUAGGUGCUGUGGGGCAAGUGAGAUUAAGACCUUGCCCUCUAAGUAAUAUUAAAUAGAUGAUAAUGUGAUAGCAAGUGACAGCUGGAGUGAGAGACUGUGCUUGAGUUAGGGUAAUCAAGAAAGGUCUCAUAGAAGAAGUGGUUAGGUAAGACUGGGUGUAGUCAUGUGAAGAUGUAGAGAAGAACUUUCCAAGCAGAAGAGACACAAAAUGCAAAAGCUAUGAGAUGGGCAAGAGCAUAUGUGUUAAUAAGACAGAAGGAAAGCCUGUGUGGAUGAGCAAUGGGAAAAGAGAAGAGAAAAGAAAAGAAAGAUGAAGUCUGAAGUCUAAGGAACAGGAACAAGUCUGAAUCUUGUACAGCCUUGUAGCCCAUGCAGGAGUCUAAAAACUCAAACGUAUCUAAAAGCCAUGACACAGAAGGCCUGGAGACUGCAUGGAAUGAUGAGGACUGCAGUGAACUCUGAAGUGCCUACCCAUGUGAAACGAACAAGUGCUAUUCGGAAGAAGCAGGUUGUGUUAAUCCAGCAGUUGAAAUUGACAUGUGAGAGUUCUUCUAAGUCCCAGAUGCUAGCUGCCAACUGCCUUUUUGUUCUUGUUUCCUUGGAAACGGAGAUUGGUUUCAUGAAAACAAGGUAAGUACAACUUUUACAGCAGAGAAGUGGAACGCUCCUUUGUCAGUUUCAGCUUGCUGGCUGAGAC
rnacentral:lncRNA from 1 species